AGUGACCGCUGGCGGUAGGCCUAACACAUGCAAGUCGAACGGCAGCACAGUAAGAGCUUGCUCUUACGGGUGGCGAGUGGCGGACGGGUGAGGAAUACAUCGGAAUCUACUUUUUCGUGGGGGAUAACGUAGGGAAACUUACGCUAAUACCGCAUACGACCUACGGGUGAAAGCAGGGGAUCUUCGGACCUUGCGCGAUUGAAUGAGCCGAUGUCGGAUUAGCUAGUUGGCGGGGUAAAGGCCCACCAAGGCGACGAUCCGUAGCUGGUCUGAGAGGAUGAUCAGCCACACUGGAACUGAGACACGGUCCAGACUCCUACGGGAGGCAGCAGUGGGGAAUAUUGGACAAAGGGCGCAAGCCUGAUCCAGCCAUACCGCGUGGGUGAAGAAGGCCUUCGGGUUGUAAAGCCCUUUUGUUGGGAAAGAAAAGCAGCAGGUUAAUACCCCGCUGUUCUGACGGUACCCAAAGAAUAAGCACCGGCUAACUUCGUG
rnacentral:rRNA from 1 species